rnacentral:rRNA from 1 species
UACGGAGGUGGCAAGCGUUGUUCGGAAUUACUGGGCGUAAAGGGCGCGUAGGCGGCCAGGCAAGUCAGGUGUGAAAGCCCCGAGCUUAACUCGGGAAUUGCAUCUGAAACUGCUGUGCUUGAGUUCUGGAGGGUGUAGUGGAAUUCCCAGUGUAGCGGUGAAAUGCGUAGAUAUUGGGAGGAACACCUGCGGCGAAGGCGGCUACCUGGACAGAAACUGACGCUGAGGCGCGAAAGCUAGGGGAGCGAACGGG